rnacentral:rRNA from 1 species
AAAGACAUAGAUGUGCUCCCCGUAAGGUCGGUGUACAGGUGGUGCAUGGUUGUCGUCAGCUCGUGUCGUGAGAUGUUGGGUUAAGUCCCGCAACGAGCGCAACCCUUGUUCCUUGUUGCCAGCACGUAAUGGUGGGGACUCUUGGGAGACUGCCGGGGUCAACUCGGAGGAAGGUGGGGAUGACGUCAAAUCAUCAUGCCCCUUAUGUCCAGGGCUUCACGCAUGCUACAAUGGCCGGUACAAAGGGCUGCGAAACCGUGAGGUGGAGCCAAUCCCAAAAAACCGGUCUCAGUUCGGAUUGGGGUCUGCAACUCGACCCCAUGAAGUCGGAGUCGCUAGUAAUCGCAGAUCAGCAACGUUGCGGUGAAU